AGUGAACGCUGGCGGUAGGCCUAACACAUGCAAGUCGAACGGCAGCACAGUAAGAGCUUGCUCUUACGGGUGGCGAGUGGCGGACGGGUGAGGAAUACAUCGGAAUCUACUUUUUCGUGGGGGAUAACGUAGGGAAACUUACGCUAAUACCGCAUACGACCUACGGGUGAAAGCAGGGGAUCUUCGGACCUUGCGCGAUUGAAUGAGCCGAUGUCGGAUUAGCUAGUUGGCGGGGUAAAGGCCCACCAGGCGACGAUCCGUAGCUGGUCUGAGAGGAUGAUCAGCCACACUGGAACUGAGACACGGUCCAGACUCCUACGGGAGGCAGCAGUGGGGAAUAUUGGACAAUGGGCGCAAGCCUGAUCCAGCCACACCGCGUGGGUGAAGAAGGCCUUCGGGUUGUAAAGCCCUUUUGUUGGGAAAGAAAAGCAGCAGGUUAAUACCCCGCUGUUCUGACGGUACCCAAAGAAUAAGCACCGGCUAACUUCGUG
rnacentral:rRNA from 1 species